GGACGCAUCACUGGUGUUCGGGUUGUCAUGCCAAUGGCACUGCCCGGUAGCUAAAUGCGGAAGAGAUAAGUGCUGAAAGCAUCUAAGCACGAAACUUGCCCCGAGAUGAGUUCUCCCUGAGACUUUAGAGUCUCCUGAAGGAACGUUGAAGACGACGACGUUGAUAGGCCGGGUGUGUAAGCGCAGCGAUGCGUUGAGCUAACCGGUACUAAUGAACCGUGAGGCUUAACCUU
rnacentral:rRNA from 2 species